AAAAGGUGUUAGAACUAAUAAUCCAAACUUAAUUAAAAUAUAGUUAUAGAUAAGUUUAAAUCUUUUAUUUGAUUAUGAUUAGGAUAUGUACUUAUCCAAAGUAAAAUUGGAUUUAUCAUUUGUUAUGAUUUGAUGGCUAUAUAUAGUUAGGUAUGACUUAAUUAGAAAAUAAGCCAUAAUAGACAUGACUGCAUAGGUAUUGCUCAGAAUGUAAUUAAUUGCUUUUUAUUAAUAAAGUAUUAGUUUACGUAUCAUCUCUCUCCUCCAAUAUCUCUUCUCCAUAUUAUUUUGUUCUAUUUUAGAUCUUGGGUUAUAUAAUCGGUAUCGGCAUAAAUACCGGUUCCAACAAUUGGUAUCAGAGAAAAUCACGCUUCUCAAUAAUUGGUAUCAGA
rnacentral:lncRNA from 1 species